rnacentral:tRNA from 1 species
AUGUAGCUUAAUUAAAGCAUUUCGCUUACACCGAAAACAUGUCUGUGUAAAUCAGACCAUCUUGAG